GCAAAUGGUCCAUUUUAGUGUGCUAUAGUACAUUUGCUUUCAGUGACAUAAUUUUUGAGUGAAAAUGAACUAAUGGGCUUUUUUGUGUUGUUUUUAAAAUUCACACAUUAUCCAAGUAUCAGAGCCAUGGGUAACACCUGACAGAUACCAGUCCAAUUGCUGUUUCAGCUGUUUCUGCUCAUGACAUCAGUGAGGAGAUGAGAAGGAAACCUGAUACAUCUCCUCUCUUAAAUUUGAGCCAGAAAUAUCAGGUAAUUGAGGAAACCUGUCAAACUAAUGCAAACCUUGAGCUGCAGCCCUGAGCUGCCAGGCUGGCCCAGUACUCCAGGGAGGAACAGAGAGCAGUUCUGGGUGGAGAGGUCAUACUUGCAGAGAUGCCUUCUGCAGGAGAGCUGAUAUUGGAUGGAUAGCUAGCAAAAAAACCACAAACAAACAAACAAACAAAAAUCCAACAGGGGAAGACCGGCCCAGCUGGUUCACUUUAUGGCUUUUGGGAACUGCAGGAGCCCAGCACAUGCUCUUCCAGGCAAACACCACCCAGCUUCCUCAAGCUCAUCUACCCUCCCGGCUGCUCUCACGGUGCAGCAAAGCAAAGGGGCUUCUGCCAGGGCUUGCCAGGCAGGCCACUCGGCAGGGCUCUCCUCUGCCUUCGGGUGGUUUGAGCGCUGGUUAAUUGGCAGCAGGUUGCUGGCCUCGCUGGAGGCAGGGGCUGUGCCAGCACGCCGCUUCCUCCAGCGCAUCGCGCCGCUGAUUACAGCCUGACUCAGCCUUGCAGCGCUGCUGCUCUUCCCUUCCCAGCCUCUCCUGGGAGCCGGAGGUUUUGGCAGGCACUUCCUCGGCGUAAGGUGUCUCUGGGGACCCGGGUUCACUCGCCGGGACUGUCCUGUCUCACAUGUGCCCAAACUGGCUGCAGGCUCCAGCCAUCGAGGGAGAGGAGCGGGUGCCAGCAGCCAGUGAGUCAGAGCACUCCCAUGGUAUUUGCUAGGCUUGGGUGGGGUUCCUCAGAAAUGCCAGUUCGCUUCCAAAGGAACAUAAAUCACCACAUUUAUACAAGCUUCAGCUCCACAGAUCCCUGUUUAGCAGUCAGGAUGGGGUUUACAGUUAAUUAAAAAAACAAAAAAGAAGAGGGCAUGUGAAAGCAAGACCCAAAUGUCUUUAAUAAUUAUCCCAAGAGCGAAAACUUUCACUCUUCUUUCGGAUGAUGACAAACACUGGGGAGCAGCCGCCCCCGGAAACUCGGGCCCCUCCUGCCUCCCUCCCUUUGAAGCUCGGUUUCCUUCCCCUGGGCGGUGCAGGACGUGA